AGGCAGGGCCUCUGCAAGUGAGAUGCAGAUCCAGCCUGUUGGCCACUUAGCACUUGCUUGGCCGCCUGCAGAUCACCUGACCUCUGCUCACCUGUAAAUGGGGGUUGCAGCAGCACUUACCUUCUGGGACUCCUGCAGCUUGAAGGGGCAGCACACACCACAUGCUGAGAAGGCGCCUAACUCAGGCAAGCUUCUCCAACAGCACCACAUCAGAUUAACAUCCAACCUGUACAGGACAUCAAAUCUCCCCAUCCCUCAUUCCAAUGGAAGAAAAGGGAGUCUCUGUCCUAGGGGAGCAAGCACAGGCCUAUCUAUGCAGUUGGCAGUUGGCACUUGACCCAGGUUGGGGAAAGGCCCUUGGAUACAUGCUGGUUUCACCAACCAUCUGUGGGUUGGGUUUGGCCUGGACCCAUGUACCCCAGGAGGCCAGCAGCCCCCUGCAUGGGACAGGACUGGGAGGUGUGUGGGAGGGCUGAGCUUUGAGGGAAGCCAUUAUUUGGCCUCAUGGGAAGUGGUGCAGGUGGUUGUUGGUGGCUCAGUUUUGCAGGGCCUGGGUGAUCACCCAAGGAGUGAAAAUUGCCUUUUUAUGAGAAAUUGCCAAAACUGAUGCAAGCUCAUCCGUUGAAAAGAAAUAUCGUUUGACUUCUGUUUUGCUGACAAGAAAUAUGGUCCUGAGCAAGGCUCCCUGGGACAAUGACCUCACACAUGGAAAACGCUGGAGCCCAUCUGUCUCCAAUCUGCUGUUUUCCAAAAAUUAGGGAACUUCAGUUUUCCCUUUGAUACUCUGUAUUUCUACCAACCACAACGCCAGGGCUGUCCUGCUUCUACAAGUGACAAUGACAAAUAUAGGCCUGAAGGAAGAUGAGCUGAUGGCAUUCCCAGCUUACUACCACUCCUUGGGUGCCUUAUCUCACAUACGUGGAUUCAACUCAUAGACUCAGCCAUGAGAUGACACAGCCAGAAGGCCCUCACGAGAUGCAGACCCCUCAUCCUUGGAUUUCCUAGCCUCCAGAACUCUAAGA
rnacentral:lncRNA from 1 species